rnacentral:rRNA from 1 species
ACGAACGCUGGCGGCGUGCUUAACACAUGCAAGUCGAACGGAAAGGCCCUGCUUUUGUGGGGUGCUCGAGUGGCGAACGGGUGAGUAACACGUGAGUAACCUGCCCUUGACUUUGGGAUAACUUCAGGAAACUGGGGCUAAUACCGGAUAGGAGCUCCUGCUGCAUGGUGGGGGUUGGAAAGUUUCGGCGGUUGGGGAUGGACUCGCGGCUUAUCAGCUUGUUGGUGGGGUAGUGGCUUACCAAGGCUUUGACGGGUAGCCGGCCUGAGAGGGUGACCGGCAACAUGGGGACUGAGUUCCGCCCCAGCCCCUUCCGGGAGGAAGAGGUGGGAAUAUUGCACAAUGGGCGGAAGCCUGAUGCAGCAACGCCGCGUGCGGGAUGACGGCCUUCGGGUUGUAAACCGCUUUCGCCUGUGACGAAGCGUGAGUGACGGUAAUGGGUAAAGAAGCACCGGCUAACUACGUG